rnacentral:lncRNA from 1 species
CCCACUUUUUUAAUUACUUUUGAGUUUCUCAGAAACCCUAGCUCCUUUUACUCCUCCUCCUCGCCGCUCGCGACCCUUCCUCUUCUCCUCCUCCCUCCUUGCCGCUCGCCGCUCCUCGCCGCACGCACGACCCCCUUCCUCGCCGCUCGCCGCACGACCGCCUUCCUCUCCUCUUCCUCUCACCUUUGGUCCUUUCUCCCUCGCAGCUGCAGCCUCGUCGAAUCCAUC